UUUUUAGUAGUUGAAGAAAAAGAAGAAGAAAGUCGGAUUUUCUUGAAGUUACGGACAACCGAAAGCAGCAGCAGCGCCGGCAGUAGAGCGGAGAACACCUUUAAAUGGAGCAGACAGAGGAGUGGAUAAAAUGACCACUUCAUCAUCGGGGCC